UCCAUUUGCAAAUUCUCUUGAUUUGUCUUUCAGGACUUGUACAGAAUCGUUCUAAACCUGUUAAGAAGAAGCCGUCAUGCAGUAGCAGACGGGGGAGCUGUCCCGAGGAGAUGCACGUCAAGUCACAACAUGAAAAAUGCGAAGCAGCUCAGCAGAGCCCUGAGUAUGUGAAGGUUACCCCAACGGAGAUUUCAAAGUGGUGCUUCAAG